rnacentral:lncRNA from 1 species
CUUUGGGGACAUGGAGGCCACCUCCUUGGGGACAUUAUGUCUUGACUCUUGAGGACAUGGAGGCCACCUCCUUGGGGACAUUAUGUCUUGACUCUUGAGGACAUGGAGGCCACCUCCAUGGGGACAUGGAGGCCACCUCCUUGGGGAUGUAGAGGCCACCUCCUUGGGGAUGUAGAGGCCACCUCCUUGGGGACGUGGCAUCUUGACUCUUGGGGAGGUGGAGGCCAGCUCCAUGGGGACGUGGAGGCUACUUUGGGGAUGUGGAGGCCACCUCCUUGGGGACCUGGCAUCUUGACUCUUGAGGACAUGGAGGCCACCUCCUCAGGAAUGUGGAGGCCACCUCCUUGGGGACGUGGUGUCUUGACUCUUGGGGAUGUAGAGGCCACCUCCUUGGGGUCAUGGAGGCCACUUCUUUGGGGACGUGGAGGCCGCCUCCUUGGGGAUGUAGAGGCCACCUCCUCGGGAGGUGGUGGCUACCUUCUGGGGGACAUCUUGUCUCUUGGGGAGAUGGAGGCCACUUCUUUGGGGAUGUGGAGGCCACCUCCUUGGGGAUGUGGAGGCUACUUCUUUGGGCAUUUAGAGGCCACCUCCUUGGGGACAUGGAAGCCACCUCCUUGGGGACAUGGAAGCCACCUCCUUGGGGACAUGGAAGCCACCUCCUUGGGGAUUUAGAGGCCACCUACUUGAGGACAUGACACCUUGACUUUUGGGGACGUGGAGGCUACUUCUUUGGGGACAAGGAGGCCACCUCCUUGGGGAUUUGGAGGCAACCUCCUUGGGGACAUUAUGUCUUGACUCUUGAGGACAUGGAGGCCACCUCCUUAGGAAUGUGGAGGCCACCUCCAUGGGGACGUGGAGGCCAGCUCCUUGGGGACGUGGCACCUUGUUCCUUGGGAAGAUGGAGGCCACCUCCAUGGGGAUGUGGCACCUUGACUCUUGAGAAGGUGGAGGCCA